UACAGAGGUCUCAAGCGUUGUUCGGAUUCAUUGGGCGUAAAGGGUGCGUAGGCGGCGCGGUAAGUCGGGUGUGAAAUCUCGGAGCUUAACUCCGAAACUGCAUUCGAUACUGCCGUGCUUGAGGACUGGAGAGGAGACUGGAAUUUACGGUGUAGCGGUGAAAUGCGUAGAUAUCGUAAGGAAGACCAGUGGCGAAGGCGGGUCACUGGAUCGAAACUGACACUGAGGUGCGAAAGCUAGGGUAGCAAACGGG
rnacentral:rRNA from 1 species